rnacentral:rRNA from 1 species
AACGAACGCUGGCGGCAGGCUUAACACAUGCAAGUCGAACGCCCCGCAAGGGGAGUGGCAGACGGGUGAGUAACACGUGGGAACAUGCCCAAAGGUACGGAAUAUUCUCGGGAAACUGGGAGCAAUACCGUAUGUGCCCGAAAGGGGAAAGAUUUAUCGCCUUUGGAUUGGCCCGCGUUGGAUUAGCUAGUUGGUGGGGUAAAAGCCUACCAAGGCGACGAUCCAUAGCUGGUCUGAGAGGACGACCAGCCACACUGGGACUGAGACACGGCCCAGACUCCUACGGGAGGCUGCAGUGGGGAAUCUUGGACAAUGGGCGCAAGCCUGAUCCAGCCAUGCCGCGUGAGUGAUGAAGGCCCUAGGGUUGUAAAACUCUUUCGUGGGGGACGAUAAUGACGGUACCCCAAGAAGAAGCUCCGGCUAACUACGUGCCAGCCGCCGCGGUAA